GAAGUGCUCACCCGCUGUAAACUCAGAGGAGGCGAAGGUGGUGGAAGAGAGGAAGGAGAAAGAGAUCGAAGAGUAAGAAAGUGUGGUGGUCGUGGCCUGAGGUGAGACAGGUGUGGGGUUUGGGGCAGGAAAGGCCCAAGCACACGCCGGUAACAAGCUUAUAAUGAACACAAAUAAUCAGACUCCAUACUCAAUUACCUUCGUGUGCUGAUUUACUGCGUCACUAUUUAAUCCUCUUGCGCGAGGAGGAAAAUUUCAUAACGUAAAAUCAUAUAAUGCCAAUUUGUGUAUUCCUUUGGCAUGAUAUUACGUUUUCCAUUAUUGGCGCGGUGUUCCAUAAAUAGUGCUUGCAGGCGUGGCAUUCGUUAGGAGUCCAGAGAGUGCGUGCUGGCCUCAAAGCAGCCCUAUCAGCAGCUGAGGCAGAUGGAGCCACCGCUGCGGCGUUGGUCCUCAGCAGCGGCGCAGUUGUAGGAAGGUCCGGCAACACUGUCGUUGCUUGUGUUAUCCACUCGCGAGGUGGCUGGUGAUGGAUGAGGGAGUGCGUGGUGGUGAUGAGUAAUGGUAUCAUGCUUCACUGACACAAGUAAACAGUAAACAAUAAACAGUCCUUAU